rnacentral:rRNA from 1 species
UACGGGGGGGGCGAGCGUUGUUCGGAAUUACUGGGCGUAAAGGGCGCGUAGGCGGCGUGGUAAGUCACUUGUGAAAUCUCUGAGCUUAACUCAGAACGGCCAAGUGAUACUGCUGUGCUAGAGUGCAGAAGGGGCAAUCGGAAUUCUUGGUGUAGCGGUGAAAUGCGUAGAUAUCAAGAGGAACACCUGAGGUGAAGACGGGUUGCUGGGCUGACACUGACGCUGAGGCGCGAAAGCCAGGGAAGCAAACGGG